GGCCGGUUAGCUCAGUCAGUUGACCAUGGUGCUGAUAACACCAAGGUCGUGGGUUCAAUCCCCGUUCAGUCCC
rnacentral:tRNA from 1 species